UACGUAGGGGGCAAGCGUUGUCCGGAUUCACUGGGCGUAAAGCGCGUGUAGGCGGCGCGUCAAGUCGGGUGUGAAAGCCCGGGGCUCAACCCCGGGAUGCCGCUCGAAACUGGCGUGCUUGAGGACGGAAGAGGGGAGUGGAAUUCCUGGUGUAGCGGUGAAAUGCGCAGAUAUCGGGAGGAACACCAAUGGCGAAGGCAGCUCGCUGGGACGGUACUGACGCUGAGGCGCGAAAGCGUGGGGAGCAAACAGG
rnacentral:rRNA from 1 species